GCCGCUGCGCCAGGGUCUUGGUGUCGGGGAACAGGACGAAGUUGUAGAUCAGUGAGGCCAGGAGGGCUCCCAUCAGGGGCCCCACCCAGAAGACCUGAGGAGAAGGAUGUCGUCACCCCACCCAGGAGCUAUCAGGACCACAGGGUGGCUCUGGGACCGCUGCCUGCUUCCCCAGUGCCGACUUGAUCUCCCAGGUCUCCCUCAACUGUCUGUAAGGUGCUAAAUUUGAGAACCACGAGUCGUGUUUCCCAAGCCCACAAGAGCACUUGUCCUGGGGUCCCCUGGUACCCUGUGGAGAUCGUGGUGGAGGAUGUGGGAUGACAAAGAGGAGAGGCAAUGGGCCAGAGUGUCUCAAGGCACUCUGAGGAGAGACAGAGGUGGAACAGGACAGACCCACGGACCCUGAGAGGAGACAGACAUGCAGACUUCCAGACCUUCAGGGAGAAAGACUUCCUCCCACCUCGGGGACGAAUAUACUGACACACCACUCCCAGGGACAGAGACAUGGACCACAGACACCUAGACCCUCAAAGAAGGCAAACAGAUUCCCAGAGGGACAGGCUCCCUCCAACCACACCGGAAAGAGAAGCAAAUAAACCUUCAGAGGGGACACGUGG
rnacentral:lncRNA from 1 species